ensembl:lncRNA
CAUGGAGUAUGAUUUCAAGACUUGCUGCUAUCGAAUACAGAUCGCCCCGUGAUCAAUUUGAUAGAUUAUUAACGUUUAUUAAUACCUAAAGUUGGUUUAGAAAAGUAGUUUGAAGUGAUUUGUAAAAGUAUAUAGGCAACUUUUGUAAUUUUAAAAAGUGACGUUGCGUCUUGUAAAGGGGCAUUUUUCUGGAUCAGACCGGUCUUCAGCAAAUCACAUUUUGGGUAUACAAUGAUGGAUUUAAUCGGGAAAAAGACCCAAUUGUGAUGUUUAUGUGACAUAUAGGAGUGCCAAGAAAGAAGCUCGUCAAAGGUAUUUUCAUAGCUACCAUGCUGUCGCUGUUAGCUAGCUAAUGCUAGCAUCGCUAGCUAACCUCAUAUCUGGAUGCCUGGAAGGUUCCCGAAAGUGAGCAGCAUACUGGCCCUCCAUUCCCAAACCUGAAGCCAACUGUUCCCAGCAGGAAAGACCAGGAAAAGGUGUUUAAGUUACAACUUCCUAUUGAAGAAAUGUAAGACAACUCAAUGUCAUAUUUACUGACAUGAAAAGGAGCAUAUACACGCAAUCUAUCAAAUGUAUUUUAUAAAGCCCCGUUUACAUCAGUAGUUGUCACAAAGUGCUUAAGCAGAUACCCAGGUUAAAACCCCAAAGAGCAAGCAAGCAGACGUAGAAGCACAGUGGCUAUGAAAAACUCCCUAGAAAGGCAGGAACCUAGGAAGAAACCUAGAGAGGAACCAGGCUCUGAGGGGUGGCCAGUCCUCUUCUGUCUGUGCUUGUGGAGAUUAUAAAAGAGUACAGCCAUUUAGGCCAGAUUAUUCUUAAAGCUGUUUCAGCGUUCACAGAUGACCAGCAGUGUUAAAUAAUAGAGAGUGCAAUAGUUCAGCACCUCAGGUGUAAAUGCCAGUUGGCUCUUCAUAGCUGAGCAUUUAGAGGUUGAGGCAGUAGGUCCAGUAGAGAGAGGCAGGAUCAAACAGCGGGUCUAGGACAAGGUAGUACCUCCGGUGAGCCUUGAGCAGGUCAGGGUUCCAUAGCUGCAGACAUAAACAGCAGAGACUGGAUCAGCAGCACGACCAGGUGGACUGGAGACGGGGAAAGCCAGGAGUCGUCAGGCCAGAAGGUCACACACGCAUAUCACAUUGCAAGGAUCUGCCACGCCCAGCAGUUCAGCUGCAGUCACAGCAGUCUUCUGCUGUGGUAGUUAAUUUACCAGCUGCACCAAUGCCUUCUACACUGGCCGUGAAAGGAGAAACUUAUGGGUAUUCCCAGAUGGAUACAGAUCUGCCAUGCACUCCACCACUGCCUGACAGCCUCACCCAGAAGUGCAUACACUGGGCCUAUCAGAGAUGGGUGUCUGACAAGGAAAAAUAAAACAUGCACACACACACACACAUCCACAAUGUAAAUAAGUUGUAAUUACUUGUUUAAUGUUUGCUCCAUUUUAUUGUAGGAUUGGAGAUAUCUACUCCCUCAUAGACAUGCUCAAUAUCUACAUAAUUACUCAAACUAUCUAUCAAAUCAAAGUGUGAUUGAUAAUAUUGUAAAAGACUUGCUUAAUAUGUAGUUUUAGGACAUUUUGUGUGCUUUUUUUCUGAGUUGAAAAACAUGCCUCAUACACACAUUAGACCCAAUGUAAAUCAGUUGUAAUAACUUGUUUAUUUUAAUGUAUGGUGAAUUUUAUUUGAGGAAAAUAUCUGCAAUAAAGUACAUUCACAGUUAAAGCAAUGUCCUAUUUCUCAGAAUACAAUGUGUGGCCAG